rnacentral:rRNA from 1 species
AUCNAAACUUUCCUUGNUUNNAACSGGUNACSGGGAAUSYNUGUUNNAUUCCGGNGAGGGAGCCAGANAANCNNNUNCCACAUCCACGGAAGGCAGCMGGNGCGUAAAUUNCCCANUACCGGNUCGGNGAGGUNGNNACAAUMAAUAACNNUAUGGGCCCURGUGGUUUCAUNAUUGCACNGAGNNAUAWUUUAAAUACUUYAUCAAGUAUCAAUDGGAGGGCAAGUCUGGUGCCAGCAGCCGCGGUAAUUCCAGCUCCAAAAGCGUAUAUUAAAGUUGUUGCAGNUAAAAAGCUCGUAGUUGAAAUUGGGNAAUCUAAAUUAAUUGACAUCWUUCGAUGGAUAUUGAUUUGGUCCUUGCKGUCGUGUAUAUUGAUUUUUGGUACUUUACUGUAUCNGAUUAAUAACCGACUUGUUUACUUUGAAUAAAUUAGAGUGCUUAAAGCAGGCUUACGCUUGUAUAUUGUUGCAUGGAAUAAUAAAAUAGGACUUUGGUUUUAUUUUGUUGGUUUUCGAAACUAAAGUAAUGAUUAAAAGAGACUGCCGGGGGCAUGUGUAUGCUGGUGUUAGAGGUGAAAUUCUUAGAUCAUCAGCAGACAAACUACUGCGAAAGCAUUUGCCAAGAAUGUUUUCAUUAAUCAAGAACGAAAGUCAGAGGAUCGAAGACGAUCAGAUACCGUCCUAGUUCUGACCAUAAACUAUGCCAACUGACAGUUAGCUAAGGUAUAUUAAUAUCCUUGCUAGAAGUCACCGGGAAACCUAAGUCUAUGGGUUCCGGGGGAAGUAUGGUUGCAAAGCUGAAACUUAAAGGAAUUGACGGAAGGGCACCACAAGGAGUGGAGCCUGCGGCUUAAUUUGACUCAACACGGGAAAUCUCACCCGGUCCGGACACUGUGAGGAUUGACAGAUUGAUAGCUCUUUCUUGAUUCGGUGGGUGGUGGUGCANUGGCCGUUCUUAGUUGGUGGAGCGAUUUGUCUGGUUAAUUCCGAUAACGAACGAGACUCGAGCCUGCUAAAUAGUGUAUCUGUGUUAUAUCGCAGAUAUUCCACUUCUUAGAGGAAUAAAUAGCGUUUAGCUAAAUGAAAAUGAGCAAUAACAGGUCUGUGAUGCCCUUAGAUGUCCGGGGCCGCACGCGCGCUACAAUCGCCACACCAGCGAGUUUUUUCCUAGCCAGAAAUGGUCGGGUAAUCUGCUGAAACGUGGUGGUAUCAGGAAUAGUGGUUUGAAAUUUUUCCACUUGAACGAGGAAUUCCUAGUAAGCGCAAGUCACUAACUUGCGCUGAUUACGUCCCUGCCCUUUGUACACACCGCCCGUCGCUACUACCGAUUGAAUGGUUUAGUGAGAUUGUUGGAUUC